CUUUGACUAUUGAUCUCCAUACCAAUUUUAUUUCUGAUCUCAGACAUAUUUCACGUACCAACUUUUAAGCAAAAUAAUCACCAUGUUGUGUAUGAUCCACAGACUUGACUGAUUUUGAUGCCAAAAAAAAACCAUUGGGCCUAUGGAAAACACCUACACCUAUAUACAGAAAGAAAUUGUAGUGUAAUGAUAUUGGAAACAGUGUUUCGACCAGUUUAAAAAGCUAUCGGUUUAAUAGAAUCCAGAUUUAUAGUAAGCGAAUUAGAACCAUAGUAGAGGAACAAAACGCCUCAAGGUGAUCGACCUGUUCAAAAACAUUUGUUUUGGAUACAUACUCGUACUUACUACUGCACAUAUAAAUAAGAUUGUUUAAUUCAAUACCUAAGGAUUAUAGAUAGGGCACGGUCAACCGUUCGAAUCUUCGAUCAUACCCACCUUAGACAAUGAGUGCGUGAGAUCUCAAAUUAAAAAAAAAAAUGUUGGCGAUGAAUGCUUAAUUAGUAAAAUUUUCAAAGAAAUCCAUAACAUGUACUAAACCUACAAUGAAAGAACCGGGAACGAAUUGGCAAACGAUUCGUUUAAAAUGAACGAUUUUUCAGUUUUUGAUUGAUGCACUGGUCUUUUUAGGGCCAGUGUUUAGGUAUAGUUGUUAAAAUUUUUGCGAUGUUUUGCCAUAUAAAAUAAGAGCAAAGGGAAGAAAUUUUGUUUUGUCGGACAAACAAAAUUUCUUCUCUUUGCUCUUAUUUUUUAUUGCAAAACAUCGUAAAUUUUAAGAACUAUAGGUACCUACUGAUCCUAAAAAGACCAGUUCAAACAAAAACUUGAAAAUCGUUCUUUUUAAACAAAUCUUUUGUCAAUUUUUGGUUUGAAAUUGUUUUUAAUCAGUAGAGAGAUAAUUGCAUAGAUAGAGACUUUCAUAUUUAAAAGAGUGAAAUCGAGAAUAAUGACCAUGAAUUGAAAAAUCAAAUUGUGAGCAGAGUAGGAGACAAAGUGCGGUUUGGUAUGGAAUCCUCGAAAAAGUCAGCAUUACAAGAACUACAGUUAGAAUAAAAUUAUGGCAUACAGAGCGAUAGAAUCAAAACUUUCAAGCUAGAACUACAGAAUUGUACGGAGAAAAUGCGGAAAAGAUCCGAAGAAGACUCAAAAUCUCGAUCUUGCAUCGCAGAAAUUAUGAAAUUAACUGCAACUUCCGAAUUCAAAUUUGGACAUAUCCGAAAAUGAAUACGACUGGCGCCUCAUCGCCGACCAUAAUUGACAUCUAUAGUGCGAUUCCGAGAAGGUGAAACGUUAUCGACAUUUUUAUAAAUACAUUUGAAAUACAUGUAUUAUUUGUGUUCAGGAAUGGAAUUCACAAGAAUGAAUUGGAAGGAAAAGAAAAAAUUAGCGGAAAGAAUUGGAAAACUUUCGACCUUUUCAACUAUAGAAUUAAGAACAAGAACCACUCAAAUAUACUCGUAUACUCACAAAAAACAUACGAUAGUUUCAAAUGUGGCUUUUUCGACUGAAUUUAUAUCUACUUAAUAUUCAUUAUUUUCUUGGCUUCAACAUUGUGAUAUUAAAUGAUAAGAGUAUAAUGAUUAAGCAUACAUUAUUUAUCAUUUUAAUUUCUUUAUUCUGCGAGCUCAAUAGAUAGACUUACUCAAUGGUGAAGGAAAUCAAAAAAUUGGAUUGCACGUCGGUAAAAGUGACGAUGACUCCGAAUUUAAAAACUUUUCAAAUUGAAUUAAAAU